rnacentral:lncRNA from 1 species
UACCUCUAUCUUGCCCGCUCCAGAUGAUACAUUGACUACUCUUGGUGAAUCAGAUAGUUGAAGGAGGGGAAGAAGGUAUUCAAAUGUUCUCUUAGCCCCAUAAUAAUUUAUUUGGAUGCAUUCUUUAGCUGACUCAUAUGUUUGUGUUACUGCCCUUCUCAAUUCUUCAUCAGGUAGUGCCUGCAAGAUGAGUAUAACUCAAAGAUCAAAACCAUUAAAGAUGCUUCCAGAACAAUUUUAACUUAGGGCCCGUUUAAAUUAGCUUAUAUAAAACAAUUUAUGCAAAUAAAUAAGUUUUUAUGUAUUAUUUAUAAGUUUUUAAGGUAGUUCAUGAAAAAACCGUUUAUGAAGAUACAAUUUUCGUUAGUGAGAGCUUAUAAAUUAAAAUAAAAGCAUAUUUAUUUACAUAAGUUAUUUUUCAUAAGCUCAAAAUAAGCUCAAACCAAACGGGGUCUUACUUCACACAUGUCAUGACAUCUUUAAAUCAUUAGUGCAUUAGUGGUAAUUAUCGAGUAAAAUGUUUAAUGGAAAAUAUCAAAAUUUGGUGCUUUGUUUGGUACUCCUUUGUCUAUAAAUAAUAGAGUUAUUUGAUCACUUCACACAUAUUACAAAAUAUAAGUGAAAAUAAAAGAUAAAAAAAAAUAGGUUUUAAGUGUAUUUCCAUUAUCAUAAAUGUAAAAUGGAAGAUAUUAAAUUGAAAGAGAUGAAUUUAGUAUUAAUUAGAGUAUAUAAUUAAAAAAACAAAUUAAUAUUAUAUUGAAAAAUGAAAUUGGUGUUUUGAAACAAUUACUCCCUUAUUCUAUAAUAGAUGACCUAUUUGAAAAUGUACAUUAUUGACUUAACAUAUUUUGACCGUAGUUUUCUACUAAUAUACAAAGAUAAGUAAUAUUAUAUAUAUAAGAUGUCGUUGGAUUUGUCUCGAUGAAUAUUUUUAAAAUAUAAAAAUUUUAUAAUUUUUUUUAAGAGAUUAGUAAUGUUAUUUAAGAUCAUAAUUAUGCAUUGAUAUGCGUGACAAGGUCAAUUGUGCCACUUAAUAUGAGACAGAGUGAGUAUUAUUUUACAAAUAACUUAAUUACUUAAUUAUUUUAGGACAAAGGAAGUAACUAGGGUUGGGAAUAGGCCAGGCCAGGCCAUGCUUUGAUAGGCCUGAGCCUGGCCAACGAAAAAAUUUGCAGGCCUGAGCCUGACCUAUGGCCUUUCAUAGGCCUAUUAUUUUGGCCUGGCCUGACCUAUUUAAAAUUCUGGCCUGGCCUGAAAGCCUAUUUACAGGCCUACUUACCAUUAAAGUCACUAAACAUUCCAUUUUAUCUACUUUUAAAUAGGCUUAAUAGACCUCAAAGCCUAUUUCAGUGUAAGACCUGUGUAUCACUACUAUAAGGCCUUAAAAGCUUAUUUCACUAUAAAGCUUUAAAGUCUAUUUAAAAAGUCCACUAUGAAGCCUAACAUGCAUAAACAAGUCGGCCUAUUAGGCUUCAUAGGCUUUUUUGAUAGCCUAAGCCUGGCCUAUUUACUUAAAUAGGCUUUUUAAAAAACCUAAGCCUAGCCUUUUUAAUAAACAGGUCAGGCUUAAACAGGUCAGGCCAUAGGCCCCUGUAGGCCGGCCUGCCCUAUUCCCAACCCUAGAAGUAACAAUAUUUAAUACAAUUUUCGGUCGUACAUGUACAUAACUACAUAUGCAUCUAGAAAAGUAGCAAAUUGAUAUUUCUGCAUAUAGCAUCUACAAUGAUAGUCACAGAUAAGAACUCUUUUAAUGGACCCCACAUGUACAUUAAAAAAAAAACAACGAUUCAAUGACUCCAAUGACAAUACACUAACAUGGACUCCAAUGAAAAGUGCUUAAAUAUGUCUCACUAAUUUUACAUCAUUAUGUAAAAGUAAUUUAUUUAUUAAAUUAUAAAUUACCUCAUAAAAUAUUAUUUCUUUUAAAAAUGGGAUCAACUUAUACAUAUUUUAUUAAUUUUUUUAAACAUGGGACCCGUUAGUUAGUCAGAAUAGAAAAGAUCUUUAUAUAGUUAUUUGUUACUUAAUAGAUACUACUUUUUUCUUCAAUAGAAGGUCCUUAACCGAAAAAUGAUCCUUAUUAAAUAAGGAAUCCUUAAGGACCGCAUUAAAGAUGCUCUAAUUGACUAGAUUCAUAACAUGUGUUGAUAUAUACUAACCCCGUUUGUAAUGAUGGCUGAAGUGAAUAAAUCACUAUCUUUAAUUUCAACUCCGCCAAUCCCUGCAUUGUUAACCUACACAAUAUGUACAAAUUAAACAUGAGCAAUGCUAUUUGUUACGAUGGUUAACUAGAAGAAAGGCAAGAAUUACACAUGCCAAAAAAACAAAAACAGAAACAACAUAUAUUAGUGGUUGGGAAAUGCUUGUUAUUACGGAUCAUUAUUUAACGAAAAGUAAGAAUGAAUCUUCAUCGUAUUAACAAGUUGAAUGAUGAAGAUUCAUUCUUGUAAUUUGUUAAAUGAUGAUUCGUAAUAACAAGCAUUUCCCAUUAAGAACAUUGCUAUUUGUUACGAUAGGAAGAUAAAAUAUUAAUUUUCGGAGAUCAAACUAAUGACCUCUUUCUUAAAUUUUCUUCAAUGUCCUUUAGCUCAUCAACAACGAUACUUAAGCACGGCUAUUAGCUCUAACCUAUGAAGUUUGGAUACUCUAAAAUGAUGAUGUACUUGUAUCGGAUACCGAUACUUCACGGAUACUUGCUGAUACGUACUCACCUAGUAUUAGAAUUGAUUAUUUUAAUUUUUUUAAAAAAAUUAUUGGAUAGUUAUAGGAUACUCCAUGGAUACACAAAAAUACUUAUAAAAUACUUAAAAUAUACAUAUCCUAGAAAAGAUGAAGGGUAGAAAAGUGUGACAUUGUUGCGAAAAUUCAGUGGAUAUGUAUAUAACUCAAUUUUAGAUAUGCAUUAGUAGAAUUGUUUCUAGAUAAACCACUAAAAAUUAUACUCUGUGGACGAAGGUAACGAGAGAAAGAAGAUUCAAUUAAUCAAUAUUAGACAAAAUUUGUAUUGAAUUCUUUUAAUGAUGCUUAUGUUGAUAUCCCAACAUUUGAAUAAAAAUAUAAUAUGGUUUAUAAGAAAACUUUACAUAUUUUUAUUUUGAUCACACGUUUUAUUUUAAAAAAAUUGUGACUUUUAUAAUAAAAUAAUAAUGAAGAGUAAUCAAUGGUCAGUUUAAGUAUAUCUUAGCCAUAUCAUAUCUUAAAUUUUAAAAAUUUCACGUAUCCGCAUACUUGUAUCGUAUCAUACCCGCAUCUGUAUCACAUUUCUGAGCUUCAUCGACUCUAACAAGUUGCAAAUCAAAUUUACAACAACAUGACAUCGUAAGACAUAACUCCUGCUCCUAUCUUAUCCCUCAACCUCAUGUUAUCUUGUUUUCAUUUUUUGUGGACCCCCAAUACCAUUAAUUACAAGAACCAAAGAAAUUCCAAGCCAUAGAACAUUGGAACUCUAUCUUCCCUAUCUUACGCAUCUUCAAUACUAACAAAACAACAUAUAAUUGUUUUAAAAAAUUCGUAUAUCGAUCGAGCAAACACAGGCUUUGGGUGGAGAAUGAUGAUGAUGAUGAUAAGCUUAAAAAUCCAAAUCCUUAAGCACAGUAACAUGCAAUUGAACAUGUGACAAACUUUUAUUCCGGAAAAAAAAAAAAAAAAAGCAUGAUAAGAGGAGAACCAAUUCAUUUUUAUUAAAAAGUGUCAAUUACUAUAGUUUUAAAAUUGCUGACACUAAUAUUCAAAUAAUGUCGGAUCGAGUUUUAAAAAAUAAAAUUCAAUUAGUUUUUUUUUGUUCAAAAACUAAUUUUUUUUGAAGGAUUGUCAAAAACUAAUUGAAUUUUAUUUUUUAAAACUCGGUCCAAUAUUAAUUGAAUAUUUAUAUAUCAAAACAUGUCCAUUUAUUUUUAAAAAUUGAGAGAUCUCUAUUCCAACAUUGCAUGUAAUUACUCACCAGAAUAUCAAGUUUUCCAAAUUGAGAUUUGACAAAAUCUGCAAGAGAUGCUACACUUGAAGCAUCAGCAACAUCUAGUUGAUGAAAUACAACAAAAUCAGAAAGACCAGAAGCUUUAAGUGUUUCCAAAGCAUGAAGACCUCUUUUCUCAUCUCUUGAUGUAAGCACCACUUUGAUUACAGCUGAAGCUAACUGCUUUACUAUCUCUAACCCAAUUCCUUUGUUUGCACCUGUCACCACUGCAUACCUAAAAGGUAGAGAGGCACUAAGGAUUAGUAAAAAAUCUAUAAGAUUCAAAAACAUGGUUAAGUAUACACAAAAGAAAGAAAUAAUGAAAGUUUGUUACUACCUUUCUCUUGGUUCUCCCAUAUUUUGUUGGAACUCAAAAAGUGUUAACUUGGGAAAUUUGAAGAUGCUUUUCUGGUUCAAGAUAUAUAUUUUCUUCUCUUGGGAAUCACUCAACCACACACGAAAAUUCUAAUUUGCCCUUCCAUAUCCUCCACACAACACAACAUACUAUCAUUUUGACACCUUUAUUUAUAUCUAUAUAUAUAUAUAUUUUUUUUGUUUUCCGUAAAUGUCUCGUUAAUCCUAUUUGAGACAUUUCGAACAUUAAAUAUGAACAUCGCCUCGAUAAAAAUUCAAACUAUGAUUAGAGACAUAUCUAUUUAUAGUAGAUUAGGGGUAAAUGCCCCCACUAAUGCUCCUAAUAUAUUUAUUUUUUUUGACAAAAUGCUUAUGGUAUACUCCCUCCGUCCUAAAAUAUAAGCAAAAAAAUUUCAUAUUCUUUGUAUUAAAAUAUAAGCAAAAAAAACCUACUUUUAUGCUAUUAUUAUGUUUUUUUCAAACAAAUCAUCUUUUCCAAUGUAAAAUUAAAUGCAAAUUGCAUUCAAUUUGUUCACCUUUUUCUUUUCUCCAUAAUUUUUAACCAAUGAGAAUUAUUUUUACAUCUUUUCAUGAAACUUAUUCCAAGGAGAACACAAAAAAUUAUACCUCAAAUCACUAAGUGUUAGUUUUCUUAAUUAGUGUGAAUUAGUGUUUUUUACUUAUAAAUUAGGACGGAGGGAGUAUUUGUUAAGUCUUUGAUAUUUUAAUUAUACCCCCCUCUUAAAAUAAUAGGUUGUCUUCACCAGAUGAAAAUUUAUACUAUAAAAAGAGUUUCUAUCAUUAAUUUUAUAAAAUCGAAUGUGUAACUGCAUUUGAGAUGAAAAUUUGAACCAUAUUUUUUAAAUAUAAAGACACACAAAAAUCAAAUUUAAUUUAUAGAUACUAAGCAGUCUUUAAUUUUUUUAACAAUAUAAUAUUUAUAAUCUUAAAUAUUUUGCUCAAUGAUGUUAUUAUUUUAUCACUUUAUGUCGUAAGUAUUUGUCAUUCUCUAGAUGAAAUCCAAUGUGCUGACAGCCCAACUUGUUGUAACGGUGUCAAUUAGAAGGGAAGAUAAAACUGUGCAUGUCAAAUAUUAUAAGUUAUCAUUAUGACUAAACCAUUAAUUGAAACUUCUGUCAUUCACAGAAGGACCAUACCACUAAUCUUUUUAGUCUAUUAAUUAGCUAAUUUAGGCUGCUAUAACGGCCCCCGACAUUGAGUUAGGCUACCACUGAGCAAGAAAAGAGCCAUUAAAAAUAGUCCCACAUCUAGGGGCGGAUCCAUGUUGGAGCUAUGUGGGACUAUAGCUGCACAUGCUUUUUUCCCCUUAUUUUUUUUAAUAGAUAAAACACAUACAUCACAUACGGACGGUAGCAACUGCAAGUGUUGAACGUGUUUUUUCAGCUAUGAAUGUUGUGAAGAGUAACCUAUGUAAUAAAAUGGGUAAGAUGUCCUAUUAACAAUUAACAAUGAUGUCAUUUUAGCUCAUUUUCAACAAAUGUAUAGGAGAUGACUUUCAUUGUAAUGUAGUGUAUCAAACAAUGAGAUAAUAAUAUUUGCCGAUUAAAAAAAAGGGUCUUGUUAAUGAGUGCCCCGGACACUCUUUAAGCAUACAAAAACAAGCAAUUAUUCUUUAAAAAAGUACUCCAUCCAUUCCUUUUUAAGUGUCACUUUUGGAGAAAAAUUUUGUUUCUAUUUAACUGUCACUUUCAAAGUUUAAUGCAACAUUAAAUGUUGUUUUACCAAUAUUGUCCUUAGUUAUUUAUAGCGGAGAGAGAAAUAUAUUAAAUGAAUAAGGUCAUUAUAGUAAAAGUAUAGCUUAUUGCAUCAAAAGUAGUAUCAAUUGUUUAUUGUCUUGAUUUGUGUAAAAUGUCAAAAUGUGACAAUUAAAAAGGAACGGAUGUAGUAAAAUAUUUCGAUUUCCACAGGGCCGUUCCUAGCGUUUCAGGGGCCUUAGACAUAGUUUGAAAAAAUGGGCCGUUACAUAAUACAUCAAAACCUUUUUUAGUUUCUUGUUAUGAUUUUACUAACGCUUCAUUUUUUUUUCUUCGCUUUUCACUAUAGGAUAAAAGGUUUUUUUAGGCAACAUCUUUAAAUAAAUCAAAACUAAACAAAAUACCAUAGGAUUAGAGAACAAUAGCUUAUGCGAAGUAGACUGAAAUUUUAGUACCUAAAUAGUAGACAGUGAAUUUGGGACAUCUAAUGAUAGUAAAACCAAAAAAAUAAAAGUAUAUCAACACGUAAUUAAUUAAAUUUUAGACAUUUUGAUACAAAAUUCUCCAAUGUUAAACCCAUAACAACAAUAAUACUUGAUAAAAAAAAAUGUGUUAAAAUUUUUAGAGUAAUCUAAGAUACAAUAACUCAUUUGUAUACUACAAAUAAAUCAUUCCUCUUCUUAUAUGCUACAAGUACCAAGUUUAUAUUACUAUAUUGAUAUAAUUAAAUUAUUUUGGAUACUUUAAAGGCAAUAUUAAGAUUAAUUUUUCUAAUAGGCCCAUUUUCAAGUAAAAUAUUAUUCGUUUUGUUAUGAAGAUUCUUUCAAUUUUCUGGAUAACAAAUAUCACAUAUAUUAUAUAUUUUUAAUAUUAGUAAAACACAUUAUUAGGAAAAAAGAGCCCAAAAAGAUAUUAAAAAAAUCUUGGCACAUUAUUAGAAAGAAAUGGCCAAUUUUUUUUGGAAGGGUGUAUAUAGAAGGCUUUGUUUUAUAUGGGGUAUAUAUAGCAAAUUGCAUCAAAAAGGCCAAAACAAUAACAGACUCUAGCCCAGAUUUUCAUAUCAAUGUUUCGGGCCUGUUAGUAUAUUUUACUAAAUAAACCCCCAAAAAACCAAUUCUUACUAUAUACACCCCCACCAAUAAUUUUUUUAGGGCCCCCUACCGGCAUGGGCCCUAGGCCAUCGCACUCGUGGCCUAUGCCUAGGGCCGGCCCUGGAUUUCCAAUGCAUUGAUUACUCGUAUUUUUAUAAAUACUUGCUAUUUAUAGGCCUUAAAGAGUGCCCCGGGGGCACUCGUUAACAUUUCCCUAAAAAAAUAGUUUGUAUUAUUAUUUAUUUAAAAUUUUAGCUCCACAUAUACCUAAAGUUUGGAUCCGUCUCUGCCCACAUCAACCAACAGGUGUAGUAUGAUGUUGUUUAUAAACUACAAGUGCCCCAUUAAAUUUAAGUUGGAGGUAACCUAGGUUAACAUAUUUCUUGUCAACCUAUGAACAACUUCAAUCUUUUUUGUCUAAAUUUAUGUCUUUUAGUUUCCAUAGUGUUUUAAUGCAAGAUUAUUUUCUUAAUUUAAUAUUAUUAUAUUUGUAAUCAUAUAGAAAAAUUCUUCAACUUUUAAUGUGCUGCCUAAGUUUUAUGUAUUUAUCAUGUCUCUUGUUAACAUUCUGUUGUUGCCUAAGUUUUGGUCAUUCGCGGGUUUGCUUGAGAUAUUGUUAAAUUUAUCAGUCCUAUUGUAAACUUUCGAUUAGUUUUUUUUUUCUUUUUCGAUUAGGUUUAGUAGCCAUAAAAGUGGAGCUUUGGAGUUAAUAGGAAUCAUUGGUGUGGCAAGUUGAUAGUCUCAAAUACAUUAUAUUAGCCUGCAAAAUUCUGCAGAAUUCGGGUUGGAUAUCUGCAUUGGCGAACGGCUUGGGGCAAUGGCCAUGUUGCCGAUGGAAGGGUUUCAUAGUCCAUAAAAUCGUACAAUACAUAUUAUAUGAAUCAAACUAACUAGUGCUGUAAGGAAAUUGUUUAAGGAAUUAAGAAAAAAUGAAAAUUUGUCUUGGAGAUACAAGUCAAACAUCAAUCAAAGUAUUAAAUACAUCAUUUUCUCUACAAAAACUACCAAUUUGGAUUACGUAAACACUACCCUAAGGACACUUGUGAACAUUCUCUAAAUAAUAUUAAUCAAAAUGAAGCGAUUCCGUUCUGACUAUAGAAAAGGCCAGAUGGACUACCUUUGGGAAGUAGUGCUAACCUAACAGGAUUUGUAGCUCCUUCUUCAACUGUCAAUAUACCAGUAUUAGUAGUCAUAUCAGUCUUAACAUAACCAGGGCAAACACAAUUGAUGCAGAAAUUCGGAUAUUUCUUUGCAAGAAUUAUUGUAUAGGCAUUCAUAGAAGCUUUAGCAACAGUAUAGGCAGCUGCAAACCUAGGCCAACCUUUACUUUCUAAGGAACCUUCUUCAAAAUCUUUGAUAAACUCCUCUAACACUUCAUCUAUUCUUUCUUCUGUAAGGUUUUCAACAUCACUGAAGACUCCUUUAGCCCAUUCAUUUGAUACUAACUGAUAUGACAUCAAUAUCAAUGAUAAUGCGAAUUUGGUCAAAGGAAAUUGAGUACAAACGUAAACUAAAUACAAGCAAGCUUAGAAAAUUUAAAAAAUUACAAGUUAGGCUCAAUCAAAACUUUAAAAGUAGAUCAUAAAUGUACUUAUUAGCUUACCUCUAUCUUGCCCAAAAAUGAUGAUACAUUGACUACUCUUGGUGAAUCAGAUAAUUGAAGGAGGGGAAGAAGGUAUUCAAAUGCUCUUUUUGCCCCAUAAUAAUUUAUUUGAAUGCAUUCUUUAGCUGACUCAUAUGUUUGUGUUACUGCCCUUCUCAAUUCUUCAUCAGGUAGUGCCUGCAAGAUGAGAACAACUCAAAAAUCAAAACCCUUCUAGAUACUCUUAAGACCAAUAAAAAUAUCCCCGUCCUAAAAACAAGACUAUUCAAUAUAAUAAACAUAUAAAAACUUCCAUUUUCAAAUUUCAGAAGACAUAUAGACUAGUACUUCUCAUAUAUCAUGUCAUUUUUAUGUAGCGAGGUGGUUUAUUCAUAGGAAAGGGAGAAAACCAAUGCUUUUACUUUGGCUUUGUGGGUUACAAUGAAUAUAUCAUGACAUUGUUGUUAAAAAAGAUAUAAAAAAAUAUCAUGACAUUUAUCUUGUGGAAUGAUGGUAAGGUGGCUACAAAACCGUUGGAUAUCCACUUGCAGUCAGAUCCAACGGUUUUGAAACUAUUGCAUCAGUUCAACCACUUGCAUUGGUGCCGCCACUAUAGAGAAUCCAUACUCCACCCAUAAACAUAUCAUCGUGGCUGCAAGACCAAAUAAAUUAAAACACCCAAUAUAUUUCAUGAUACUAAAGAUUCUCUUUCAGAAUUAGGUUGACGUUGAACAUUGUUUAUAAGAAUGUCAUAGUACUACAUAUAUAUGACCAGAAACAAUAAGAAUCUUCAUUGUACUAUUGUUAGUUAUCAAGGGAAAUAAUGCUUAAUGGGAAAUAUUGAAAUUUAGUGUUUUGGUUGGUAAAAAAUCUUAACACAAUUUCUAGUACAUAUGCAUGAUGGAAGUUCAAAUUGAAUAAAAAAAAAAAAAAAAAGUAAGCAAAUCGAUCAACAUCGAUUCAGUGUAGACGCAAUCAACUUUAAAACUUUUAUUACACAAUAUAGGUAAGUUUCAAAUUCGUAUAUACUAACCCCACUCGUCAUGAUUGCAGAAGUGAAUAAAUCACGGUCUUUAACUUCAACCCCGCUAAUCCCAGCAUUGUUAACCUACAUGAUACAAUCUUUAUUCAAGAAAUAUAUACAAACAACAUGUAUCAACUCUAACUAAGAAACUUAUAAUGACUUAAAAAAAAAUUAUCAAGCUGGUUAAAUGGAAACUAGUCUAAUUAGUACUAAAAUAAGUAUUAUCAACUCUAUGAAAUGCGACAUUUUUUUAAUUUCAAAAGAAUAUAUUAACACCUAGAAAAAGAACACAAACAAUCUUGGGAUAAAAGAAGGUAUUAUCAUGUCUCAUCCUCAACACUACCAUCCACAUCUCUCCGAGUGAAUAUCAGAAAAAACUCUAACUCAAACCUCAUGAAAGAAGGUAUUUUCCAUCAAAGUCAUGGGUGGUUUGGGAAUCGGGAGAGUACCCAAGGGUGCGGGUCCCUUUACCAUGCCUAAGGGAAUGAAUUGCAUAAAUGAACUACAAUAAAUAAAAAAGUGGAAUAGCACGAUGAACUCUCUGACUUGCAAUGGAACCUAAAGAAGAUUGAAAAAACUAUAGAACAAUAUUUUAAAUCAUGCAAAUGGAAAAUUUAAUGUAGCUGUAUUUGUUUUUGUUAAAUAUAAUAUCAAGUGAAUUUGUGUUUCACUUUAGUCUAAUGUGUAGAAAUUUCAAAAUGUGCUAUAUAUUUCUUCAGUUACUAGUGUAUCUAUUCAUUAAUGGGUUAAAUAUGUCUAUACAUCUCAUAAAUAUGUCUCCACACAAAAAAAAAAAAAAAAAAUCAAUUUUUAGGUGUGUGUUCACAUGGGAAAGGUUAAUCAUUUCCCACCAUGGGAAAGUUGGAUUCAAUGAUUAGAUUAAGUGAAGAACAUAUUCUUAACAUGUUCUCUCAACACUAGAUUUUUCUUCACACUAUCUUCCAACAAUUUAAAAAUUCUGAAAAUUAAUUUUCAGAAAUUAAAAAAAUCGAAAAAAUAUAAAAAAAUUCAGAUAAAUUUUUUUUUUUAAAUUUUGUAAUUCAUUAAUUGAAUGUUAGAAUUUUUUUUUUGAAAAAAAAAUUAUUUCAAUAAAAAUAAAAUUUUGGAAACUAAGACAAGUUUUUAUUUUUCUAAAAAGAAUAUAUUUUUUAAUUUCAUAAUAAAAUAAAUAUCCUAAAAAAAUAUUUUAAAAUUGAAGUUUUUUAUUUUUCUAAGAAAAUAAAAUUCUGGAAAAUAAGGUUUUUGAAAUAAAAUUCUGGAAUUUUUUUUUUCAUUUUUUCAAAAAAAAAUUCUAACAUUCAAUAAAUGAAUUACAGAAUUUUAAAAAAAAUUAUCUGAAUUUUUUUCGAUUUUUUAAAUUUUUAAAAAUUAAAUUUCAGAAUUUUUAAAUUAUUGGAAGAUAGUGUGAAGAAAAAUCUAGUGUUGAGAGAGCAUGUUAAGAAUAUGUUCUUCACUUCAUCUAAUCAUUGAAUCCAACUUUCCCAUGGUGGGAAAUGAUUAACCUUUCCCAUGUGAAAUGCCACCCAAUUUUUAAUCCUCAUAAUUUAUAAAAAUAAGAUACUUCUGUAAAACUAUUAGCACACUCUUGUAUAUAGUGUCAAGGUCGUUGUCUAACAUGCACAAAAUGAUCUUACACCAUGCAUGCGUACAUACAUGUCUUUUUCAUCAUUGGAUCAAAUAAUUACAAUAAAUUUUAUUUGAUUGAAUGGUGGUAUUUAUUGAUCUAACAAUGGAUACUAAUUUUAUGGUGCAUGACUUGUUUCAUUUAUGCACCAUAGAAUCCACCAAUAUAAAGACUAAAAAAGGUUAAAAAAUUUAGAUGGACUAAAAUCAAAAGAUUAUUUUUUUCACUAAAACAUAUUUAACACUUGAUUAAAGUUUCUUGUUACCAGAAUAUCAAGUUUGCCAAAAUGGGAUUUGACAAAAUCUGCAAGAGAUGCUACACUUGAAGCAUCAGCAACAUCUAGUUGAUGAAAUAAAACAAAAUCUGAAAGACCAGAAGCUUUGAGUGUUUCCAAAGCAUGAAGACCUCUUUUCUCAUCUCUUGCUGUCAGCACAACUUUGAUUCCAUCUGAAGCUAACUGCCUUACUAUCUCAAAUCCAAUUCCUUUGUUUGAUCCUGUCACCACUGCAUACCUGAGGAAGAGAGACACCAGGAUAAGAAAGAUCUAAAAUAUUAUAAAAAACAUUUUUUGGAUAUGAUAGAGAAAGUUUGAUCAUGCUACCUUUUUGUUGGUUCUCCCAUCUUUAGUUGGAACUUAUUGGCAAUGUUGCACUUGGGAAAUAUGAAGGUGCUGUUAAACAAAGAGAUAUUUUCUUUUCUUGGGAAUUCCUUCCCCACACAAAUUCUAAUUUUGCUUCCUUUUCUUAUCCUCCAUAGUCUACACGACAAGACAUCAUAUCAUUUUGAUUUGGUUUUCGGAUUUAUCUAUAUCUUGUUAGAUUAAUUUAAAGGUCUUGUUAACCGGUGUCUUUGAGACACUGGGAAAACUAAAGAAUAAAGUUUUAAAGUGAAAAUAAUAUUUUUUAUGCUUUUGAGAUGUUGACAGCACAAAUUCCAAUGCAACACUUACUACAUUUGAUUAAUAUCAGUGCCCCGGGAGCAAUGGUUAAGUAGAAUAUAGUCAAAUAAAAUUAUGUAGAAUUAAAUAAAUUUUUAUCCUUAUAAAUAUAGUCAAAUAUGAGCACAUACUUUUAGUCCUUGUAAAAUUCAAAUAUGUUUAGAUGUGCUUAAACCUUUAAACUUUUAAUGUUUUUUACAUACUUUUUUUAGAACAUUAUACAAAGUUCAUUUACAAAAAAAUUAGUUAAAACUUUGAUAUUUUGGUCCAAAUUUUUACUCCCUCCGUCCCAAAUUGUAUGUCACUUUAGAAAAAAUAUUUGUCCCAAAUUGUAUGUCACUUUAGAAUACCAAUGAAACAUUAAUGUUAUUUUUCAUAUUAUAUCAUUAACUAUUUAUUACUCUUUCUUUUUUCAAUUCUUUCAUUUAUUCUUUCAUUUAUCUUUCCCAUAUCAUUUAUUAAGGAUAAUUUUGUAAAACAACUCAUAAUAUCUCUUUCCCAUACAAUAUUAAUUACAUUUCUUAAUAUGUGUGAAAUGUCCAAAACGUCAUACAAUUUGGGACGGAGGGAAUAUUACUUUUAAUUUUGAAAUUUUGGUGUUUCAAAAAAUUCACAUUUAAUUCAUUGAAUGUUAAGAAUAUAUAUAUAUUUUUUUUAUAAAAGAGUUUCUUAUAAACUUCUUAACAUGUUUGUAAAAAGUCAUUUAAAAAUUUAGUAGUUUAAAUAUAAUUAAACAAAUUUUAAUUUAAGAAGGACUAAAAUUGUUUAUUGAAAUUUUUUAUUGAGAUCAAAACAUGUCUCUUUUUUAUUAUGAGUACUAAAAACAAAAUUCGCUAUAUUUAUUUGGAUUAAAAACUUAUUUAACCUUAUUAUAUAAUUUGCUUAAAGUCAAGGCAGACCUCAAUGCUCAACGAACACUAAUAAAAAUACUUACAAAUCCUUACGCUGACAAUGAGAGUUGAACUCACAUACUUGUAGAGUAUGAAUCAACUCCUUAUCAACUGAGUUAACUUUAUUGACAAGAAAUUAAAAACAUCAAUUGAUAUCAAGUUGAACUUUUAAAAUUUUGGUAUAUCAAAUAACUUAUACUCCCGUCAUAGUAAAAUAACUGAGUUUAUUUUUCAUAUUACACAUAUUAAGAAAAUAUAUAUAAGUGAAAAAGAGAGAUGAUUUUGAAUGCAUUGUCCAAUAUUGGUGCAUUCGUUAUCUAUCAUUGUCAAGUGUUGCUAAAAGUUUGUUAUUUGUUUGGAGGUUUCAAAUCAAUAAGAUUCCGACUAAAGAUUACUUGGCAUGAAGAAGAAGAAGAAUACUGAAUUCUAACGUUUUGUUAUUUCCAUGUGGUUGUGGUAAAGAGUCGAAUAAUCAUCACUUAUUCUUUAAUUCCGAUUUUUUUUGGUCAAAUUUGGUAUAGUCUUUUUAAUUGUGUUCACUCAAAAAAUAUCUAUUUGCUUGCUCUCCAAUAUUGUUGUCCUCAUUUGUUUAACAAUGAUGUCCAAUUUUGUUUUCAAGUGAUUUAGAUGGCUUGUAUUUGGAUUAUAUGGAAAGAGGAAAAUUUUAUUGUUGUUAUUAAUGUUUUGUCUUGCUUUUUCGUUUAUGACUUUUUGUAUUAUAUUCUUUUGCCACAUCUUGUGCUUGAUUUGCGUGACUGUCCACAUUAAUUCGAGAGUGUUAUGGAUGCAGUUGGGUCUUUCCUCGUGUGCUGGCCUUCCUUGUCUCAAAUGACUUUUAUAACUAACUUUGAUAUAUAUGCUUCAACAGAUUGUUGAGUUGUUAGAUCAAGAUUGGAUAGUUCGUCAGUGUACCUACUUCUUGGCCAAUGCGGAUUCACAUACAACAGAUGCCUUUUGUUGUAGGUUCGGGGUUAAGAUCCUUGCUCCAUUUGGAUUCUUUAGGAGCUCCGGCCUGAGAUUUUGCUUUAUUUUUUUCCUUUCUUUCUGUUGUUUUGGUGGGCGUCGGCCUUAAUUUCAACAAAAAAGACGGUCGUGAUUAACAAGCAAUGAAGUUUAUUUAUAAUCCAUAAAACCGUAUGAUGAGUCUUGUUAACGAGUAUCCUCGGGGCACUCUUUAAGUAUACUAAAUUAAGUAAUUAUUCUUUAAAAAUGUAAAAGUUUUCAAUUUCCAAUGCACUGAUUACACAAAUUUUUAUAAAAAGUUACUAUUUAAGAUCCUUAACCAGUGCCCCGUGGACACUAGUUAACAUUUCCCUAUAAAUAACAUGAAUAGUUCACGCCAACAAGCUUUCUAAUGACAUUGUUUACGGAAUUCAAAAAAAUAAAAAAAAAUGUCUUGGAAAAAUAAGUCAAACAUUUGAUCGAGUAUUAAACCGAUCACUUUCUAUACUAAAGUUCCCUAUUUAUAUUGCUUAAACAUUGUCGUAAGGAUACUUAUUAGCAUUCUCCAUAUAAAAUCAAUCAAAAUGGAUAGACUUCAUUCCGGAUAUAGUAAACGCCGGAUGGACUACCAUUGGGAAGCAGUGCUAACCUAACAGGAUGAGCAGCACCUUCUUCCACUGUGAAGAAACCGGUAUUAGCAGUUAUAUCGGUUUUGACAUAACCAGGGCAAACACAAUUGAUGCAGAAGUUAGGAUACUUCUUUGCAGUAAUUCUUGUGUAAGCAUUCAUAGAAGCUUUAGCAACAGUAUAGGCAGCCAAAUAUCUAGGCCAACCUUUUCUUUCUAAGGACCCUUCUUCAAAAUCUUUGAUAAACUCCUUUAUCACUUCAUCUAUUCUCUCUUCUGUAAGAUUUUCAACAUCACUGAAGACUCCUUUAGCCCAUUCAUUCGAUACAAACUAAUUUGACAUCGAUAAUCAAUAUUAGAGAUAACGAAAAUUUAGUUCAAAGGAGAUUGAAGUAAAAAACAUAGCAAAAAGUAUACUAUAAAAGUUCAAUAUAUAGUUAAGAACAUCAAUAUAUAGCAAAAAGUACCUCUAUCUUGCCCAAUCCUGAUGAUACAUUGACUACUUUUGGUGAAUCAGAUAAUUGAAGGAGGGGAAGAAGGUAUUCAAAUGUUCUUUUAGCUCCAUAAUAAUUUAUUUCUAUGCAUUCUUUAGCUGACUCAAAUGUAUAUGUCAUUGUCCUUCUCAAUUCCUCAUCAGAUUGUGCCUGCAAGUUAAGAACAUCGAUGUUGUUAUUUUCGGAUUUGUCAUUUGAGGGUUAAUCCAAUGGAAUGUAUCAUGACAUUUUUAUUUUUUUAAUAGAAACGAAAAGGAUCUAAGUCCUCUACAAAACCGUUAGAUUCCCCCACUUGAACUCGGAUCCAACGGUUCUGCAAUCGUUGCACUGGUGCAACCACUGCAUGGGUGCUGCCUCUACAAAGAAUUCAUACCCAAACAAUAAAUAUAUCGCCUUAGGCUGCAAGACCGGAGAAAUUAGGAUAGGAGGAUAUUAACAAAAUCCCA